rnacentral:rRNA from 1 species
AACGAACGCUGGCGGCAUGCCUAACACAUGCAAGUCGAACGAGACCUUCGGGUCUAGUGGCGCACGGGUGCGUAACGCGUGGGAACCUGCCCUUAGGUUCGGAAUAACUCCCCGAAAGGGGUGCUAAUACCGGAUAAUGUCUUCGGACCAAAGAUUUAUCGCCUUUGGAUGGGCCCGCGUUGGAUUAGCUAGUUGGUAGGGUAAAAGCCUACCAAGGCGACGAUCCAUAGCUGGUCUGAGAGGAUGAUCAGCCACACUGGGACUGAGACACGGCCCAGACUCCUACGGGAGGCAGCAGUGGGGAAUAUUGGACAAUGGGCGAAAGCCUGAUCCAGCAAUGCCGCGUGAGUGAUGAAGGCCUUAGGGUUGUAAAGCUCUUUUACCCGGGAUGAUAAUGACAGUACCGGGAGAAUAAGCUCCGGCUAACUCCGUC